CCUACGGGAGGCAGCAGUGGGGCAUAUUGCGCAAUGGGCGAAAGCCUGACGCAGCGACGCCGCGUGAGGGAUGAAGGUCUUCGGAUCGUAAACCUCUGUCAGCAGGGAAGAACGGUCACUGUGCUAAUCAGCAGUGAAUUGACGGUACCUGCAAAGGAAGCACCGGCUAACUCCGUGCCAGCAACCGCGGUAAUACGGAGGGUGCGAGCGUUAAUCGGAAUUACUGGGCGUAAAGCGCGCGUAGGCGGUAUGUAAAGUAAAGGGUGAAAUCCCCGCGCUCAACGUGGGAACUGCCUUUUAAACUGGCAAACUUGAGUGUGUGAGAGGAUAGUGGAAUUCCAGGUGUAGGAGUGAAAUCCGUAGAUAUCUGGAGGAACAUCAGUGGCGAAGGCGACUAUCUGGCACAUAACUGACGCUGAGGAGCGAAAGCGUGGGUAGCAACCAGGAUUAGAUACCCCAGUAGUC
rnacentral:rRNA from 1 species